AUUGAACGCUGGCGGCAGGCCUAACACAUGCAAGUCGAGCGGGGUUUUCGGACCUAGCGGCGGACGGGUGAGUAAUGCGUAGGAAGCUACCCGAUAGAGGGGGAUACCAGUUGGAAACGACUGUUAAUACCGCAUAAUGUCUACGGACCAAAGUGUGGGACCUUCGGGCCACAUGCUAUCGGAUGCGCCUACGUGGGAUUAGCUAGUUGGUGGGGUAAUGGCUCACCAAGGGGACGAUCCCUAGCUGGUUUGAGAGGAUGAUCAGCCACACUGGAACUGAGACACGGUCCAGACUCCUACGGGAGGCAGCAGCGGGGAAUAUUGGACAAUGGGCGCGAGCCUGAUCCAGCCAUGCGGCGUGUGUGAAGAAGGCCUUCGGGUUGUAAAGCACUUUCAGUAGGGAGGAAGGAUGUUGUGUUAAUAGCACAGCAUUUUGACGUUACCUACAGAAGAAGCACCGGCUAACUCUGUGCCAGCAGCCGCAGUAAAAC
rnacentral:rRNA from 1 species